GUGAGGAAUUUUGCGCAAUGGGGGAAACCCUGACGCAGCAACGCCGCGUGAGUGAUGAAGGCCUUCGGGUCGUAAAGCUCUGUCUGGUGGGAAGAACCGUCGGAGGGUAAAUAGCUCUCCGGCCUGACGGUACCGCCGAAGGAAGCACCGGCCAACUCCGUGCCAGCAGCCGCGGUAAUACGGAGGGUGCAAGCGUUGUUCGGAAUCAUUGGGCGUAAAGGGCGCGUAGGCGGUCCAGUUAGUCGGAUGUGAAAGCCCUGGGCUCAACCCAGGAAGUGCAUCCGAAACUGCUGGACUUGAGUACGGGAGAGGGAAGUGGAAUUCCUGGUGUAGGGGUGAAAUCCGUAGAUAUCAGGAGGAACACCGGUGGCGAAGGCGACUUCCUGGACCGAUACUGACGCUGAGGCGCGAAAGCGUGGGGAGCAAACAGGAUUAGAAACCCCGGUAGUCC
rnacentral:rRNA from 1 species